rnacentral:pre_miRNA from 1 species
UGAGGGGAAUGUUGUCUGGCUCGAGGACUCUCUUUGAUUCCUUUUUUUUUUUCCCUCAAAGUAUAUCCAUAGAUCUGAUCUAAAGCAUGUAUGGGUAUAAGGAGUAGAUUGAUCAUCAGCUAUAGUGUCGUCGGACCAGGCUUCAUUCCCCCCAA